GUACUCGCUUCGGCGGUACAUGUACUAAAAUUGUGACGGUACAGAAAAAGUCACCAUGGCCACAGCGCAAGGAUGACACGCAAAAUAGUGAAGCGUUCGACUUUUUG